ensembl:lncRNA RANBP3-DT RANBP3 divergent transcript
GAGAGGGCGGGGAAAGGGCCGGGAAGGGCGCAUGCGCAGUGGCAGCGACUAAGGUUUAGUGAGGCGGCACCGCGCGGCCCGAGGCGGGUCUUGAAGCACUCGUUUUCCCACUCGUUUUCCGGGGUUCCCCCGCGGUGGGACAGUGAGCAGUUCAGGGCGCCGCAGCCGAGGCCUUCCUCCAGAAAAAGUUUGCCAGUUCCUAAUCCAGGACACAUGUAUUUACAUGGUUGUUAAACUUUUCUGAACAGCCAGUGGGAUGUGGUAAAUAUUUAACAGCAGCUUCUCUGGAAGAGAAUGUAUUCGUUAGUAUGUAUUUAUGUGUGUGUAUAUAGUUUAUUGUAAAUUUUACUUAUUUUUCUAUCACUUUCUUAAGACCACAAGACAAUUAAUAAAACAAAUUGAACCCUGUU